rnacentral:rRNA from 1 species
AGAUUGAACGCUGGCGGCAGGCCUAACACAUGCAAGUCGAGCGGUAGAGAGGUGCUUGCAUCUCUUGAGAGCGGCGGGCGGGUGAGUAAUGCCUAGGAAUCUGCCUAGUGGUGGGGGAUAACGUUCGGAAACGGACGCUAAUACCGCAUACGUCCUACGGGAGAAAGCGGGGGACCUUCGGGCCUCGCGCCAUUAGAUGAGCCUAGGUCGGAUUAGCUAGUUGGUGAGGUAAUGGCUCACCAAGGCGACGAUCCGUAACUGGUCUGAGAGGAUGAUCAGUCACACUGGAACUGAGACACGGUCCAGACUCCUACGGGAGGCAGCAGGUGGGGAAUAGUUGGACAAUGGG